rnacentral:lncRNA from 10 species
GAUUCUCACUGCACUGAGAGUACCCAGAAGAACAAGUUCACUGGAGUUCAGAGCAGUUAGAUGUGGGAGACUUGACUUGGGCAACCUGAAUGGAGAAAGAGGGAAUAAGGAUGGCUUCCACAGAGCAGAAGGGCCUGCACCAGGAAGAUUGCAGGACCAUGAAAGGAAGCUCAGGUCAGACAACUGAAUGAUGAGAGGCCACAAGAGAAGGAGAGCUUCCAUGUGAAGAAGUGGCCACCAACACUAAC